rnacentral:rRNA from 1 species
GUGAGGAAUUUUCCGCAAUGGGGGCAACCCUGACGGAGCAACGCCGCGUGCAGGAGGACGCUUUUCGGAGUGUAAACUGCUUUUCUGUGGGACGAGAGAGCAAGGACGGUACCACAGGAAGAAGCCCCGGCUAACUACGUGCCAGCAGCCGCGGUAAUACGUAGGGGGCGAGCGUUGUCCGGAGUUACUGGGCGUAAAGGGCAUGCAGGCGGUCCUGCGCGUUUCGCGUGACAGCUUCGGGCUUAACCGGAAGAGAGUGCGAAAGACGGCGGGACUUGAGGGCCAGAGAGGGACACGGAAUUCCGGGUGGAGUGGUGAAAUGCGUAGAGAUCCGGAGGAACACCGAAGGCGAAGGCAGUGUCCUGGCUGGUGACUGACGCUGAGGUGCGAAAGCCAGGGGAGCGAACGGGAUUAGAAACCCUAGUAGUCC